GUAUGCGCGCGCGCAUGCGCAGGGGGCCCGCCCCAGGUUGGCAGGGCUUUUGCUGCUCGUCGAGUCGUCGUGGAAGCGGGACAGCUCUAGCACCAGUAGGCUACUCUGAAACACUUGCUUAACAGACUUUCAGCUAUGGCACUGAAAUGGUACUUACUGCAGGCCUCAGACACAUUAUGGAAGCUGAUCUUCUGGUUUCAAACAACAUUGUUAAUGUCUCAGCAGCAGGACUCAUUUUAAAGACCCUCGUUACUUUUGUGCCAAGCUUGGAAGCUCCAAACUGAGACUCUCAAUCAUGAAUCACUGAGUUUACCAACUUUUAGCUCAUGUGAAUCAGAAGGUAUUCCUGAUCAAUAAAGAUAUGGAUAACGUAUAAUUUAGAUAAGCCUCUUGCAGACGUAUCUUUGUUCUGCGUGUGUUCAGCACUUAGUAAUGCAGUCACUGUUAUGCUGUCGUGUGAAAUUUUUUUAAAAGGUUUUAUUCAAUUUAAAACAUUGAUAUAGUUUUCUACAUAAAUCUAAAGGUGGUUGA